CAGUUGUCACGCCAGUGGCAUAGCUGGGUAGCGAUGUAUGGAAAGGAUAAAUGCUGAAAGCAUCUAAGCGUGAAACCUGCCACAAGAUUAGAUAUCCCAUAACAUAAGUUAGUAAGACCCCUUGUAGACUACAAGGUUGAUAGGUCGGAGGUGUAAGUGCAGUAAUGCAUUGAGCUGACCGAUACUAAUAGGUCGAGGGCUUGAUCAC
rnacentral:rRNA from 1 species